CUCCCUCCCUCACCUCUUGUUUUUAAUUUUUUUUUCUCAGCUACUUCUUCUUCUUCCUCAGUCAUCUGUUUUUUUUUUCUUGGGCUGCUGGGUCAUCUGGUUCAACCAUCUGCGAUUCUUCCGAGCUCCAUCGGAUACGGCUCCUCCCAUCUCCCUCUACACUUGCACGGCUGACUAUUAAGUUUUUGGCUGGUAUUGGUGGUGGUGGGCUUGGGUUCUUCGCUGUGAAAAUGUCACUGAUUCCACUCUCUUAAUUUACUAGCACAAUUUUUCUUUUAAUCGCAAUCGCAAUCCCUCUGCACUUGCACGGCUGAAUUUGAUUUGCUACAUUCAAGAUGGUCGAAUUGUUUAAAAAUAUAAGGGAGAUGAUGUUGCAUCACACAUUCUCUUUGUCUCUCGCCCUUUACUAGAUGACUGUGAUGGAGCCUAGACACCUCGUGUUGUGGCUCACUGUCUUCAGGUUCAUACGAAUGUGAUGGGGUUGCUAGUUAGGAUCUUUCUUUAGACCUCUUGGACUAUCCAUAAUCUCAUUUAUGUCAGCAACUCUGUAAGUUCAUUCAAAUGUAUAUUGUUCUUUUUUUUA